rnacentral:lncRNA from 1 species
AUGCAGCUGCACCAAGCCAGAGUUCAUCGUAUACUGGACACCUCUGCAGCUAUGGAUCCAUUUCUCUGUGUUUGUGGAAAUCCACAUUUGGCAUUUUCAGAGAUGCCUGAGCCAAGCUUAAACCUCAGUGUUUGGAUAUGGGGUGAUGGUAGACACAUGUUCCACAGGUUUUAUUGCAUCAUGGGACCUGAUCAACUGACAAGCAGAGCUAAUGAAAGCCUAUCACCAGAAGUAUACAGCAUUUCCCUUCGAAGGGGAUCUCAUUCUCACCAAAGAACUCACAAGCAAAAUGACAGUGGAAUAUGUUGGGACAGAAAUAUUCACGUCUCUUUACACUGUCCUGCCAGAGGUGGCUUUUAUAUGCUGGAUUUAACUUUCACAUUAUCCGAUGUAAUUUAA